rnacentral:pre_miRNA from 1 species
AAAGUACUCUCUCCGUCCCAAAAUUCUUGUCUUAGAUUUGUCUAGAUACGGAUGUAUCAAGUCACAUUUUAGUAUUAGAUACAUCCGUAUCUAGACAAAUCUAAGACAAGAAAUUUGGGAUAGAGGGAGUAGUUG